AAAGCUCUUUUAUGUAGUGUGCGUACCACGAAAGUAGCAGGUACUGCACACGAAACUGGAGAGCGAGACUC
rfam:Trypanosoma brucei brucei strain 927/4 GTTat10.1 chromosome 11 chr11_scaffold01 genomic scaffold, whole genome shotgun sequence.